rnacentral:misc_RNA from 1 species
CUGGGGAAUUCUCGAGUUGCCGCAAAAGGCAAGCAAAGAAAAAACAAGGCAGGAAGGUACUUACCUGAGAAAGGAGCCCCGGGGCAACUCUUCUCAGAAUCCAGCGAGAGGCGUGGAGAGAGGGCCGCGGUGCUCUGGAGUAGAGGCUCUGCCUUCGAAACACCAUCGAUCGUCCCUUCUUCUUUACCUUCUCCUGGCUCUUCCGAUGAGACGCGACCGGUGGCAUCACCUCUCGGUUCGUCCCAACCUGCUUUUUGUCUAUCUGAGCCUCUGCCGCGGAACCUCUCUUGAGCCCCU